GAGCAGGUUCCUGCGGCAACGCCACAGCUUUCUGCUUUGAGAAUGGUGAUGCAGUUCUGAAGCAGUUAUCUCUAGGACAGGGCUUGGAUCAGAUCUGCUUUGACUUUGGAAUCUUGCUGGCAUUGUUCUUCGCCUUCUUCAUUUCCGGACUUCUGAUACUGGUGUUGCGUAUCCGCUACAUCAAGCGCUAAUGUCUGCCAGGCGCAAUGCGCUAACGUGUCACUCUGAGGUGCUAAACCUGACUUGAUGAUGGUGUUGUUCUAGUGUUGAGAUGAUUCUGUAUUCCGCUAUGUUUGUCAGUGUCUUUCAUGUUGCUAUUUUGUUAGUCAUACAGCCCAUAUACACUCAUUAAUGUCAACUUCAGUAGUGGACAUUCCCAGACAAGUAUUCUGCCUGUCACGUGUGUGUGUGUGUGUGUGUUUGUUUGUGUGCGUUUGAGUGUGUUUAUGUGCUUGUGUGUGUAUGUGUGUGUGUGUGUGUGUGUGUGUGUGUGUGUGUGUGUGUGUGUGUGUGUGUUUGCACGUGUUUGUGUGUGUGUGUGUGUGUGUGUGUUUUUGUGUGUGUGUGUGUGUGUAUGCGUGUGAGGUCAAUUUAGUUCUUGUUUAUCUGUUGUUGUGGUGUGUUGUGUGCCGUGGUCAAGUGUGUGUGUGUUUCCAUUACGUUCAUAUCUGCACUGAGUGUAUAGUGUAUAUGUAUGCUGGUAUGUAGCUGCUGGGUCAGACUAUAGUUAUGUUUGGAGAUUCUAGUGUAGAUCAUUUUAUGUGCAGGCUGAUUAGAAUGGGUCAUGUGAAUUUCAGUACACUUGCAAACACUACAUAUAUUGUUACUAGUAAACAGUGCUCUCUUUGUCAUUUACAACAACUGCUGCUGCUAUUAUGCAGUGUAUGGCAUGUCAGUGACUCAGUUGUUUUUUAUAGUUUUUCAGUGUCUGCUGUUUUAUUUUUGUUGCUAAAGUAAUGCAGGGUUUAUACAAACACUGACUGUUGUGUCAUGGCUACAAGUGAGAAGAUCUUCAACCCUGCUGA